ensembl:snoRNA
AGGUCAUUUCAAACAGGGCUGAUGCAACCAAAUCUGGGUGCUUUUAACACUGGGACCAAAGACAGAGUCUUCCAUAGGAUGGAACAGCCAUUCAGUAGUGCUACACUUUCCUGAUGGAGAUGCAAGA